GCCUACGGGGCGCAGCAGUGGGGAAUAUUGCACAAUGGGGGAAACCCUGAUGCAGCGACGCCGCGUGAAGGAAGAAGUAUCUCGGUAUGUAAACUUCUAUCAGCAGGGAAGAAAAUGACGGUACCUGACUAAGAAGCUCCGGCUAAAUACGUGCCAGCAGCCGCGGUAAUACGUAUGGAGCAAGCGUUAUCCGGAUUUACUGGGUGUAAAGGGAGCGUAGACGGUGAUGCAAGUCAGAAGUGAAAGCCCGCGGCUCAACUGCGGGACUGCUUUUGAAACUGUAUAACUAGAGUGCAGGAGAGGUA
rnacentral:rRNA from 1 species